UCUUUCCCAUAAAGGUAAUUCAACCUAUCCCAUUUGGCGGCCUUCAAUCUUAUUAAAGGAACUUGUUGAUUAACCGAUGAUACGCGAUAUUUUUAACUUAAACCUAAUUUUUAUACCGCCGUCCAAAGGAUAAAAUUGAAUAUUUUAUCCGCAUCUUACCCUUAGAGUAGAAAUGUCAGGUCAAGGUGAAGUUUAUGUUUAAGUUUCAAUGAGUUAUCAAUAAAAAUAAUUUAUGGACUUUUGUUUAAAAACAAAAAUCGAAUUAAGAUUUAAAAGUAUUUUCAAUUUAAUACACCAAAAAGAAUAAGCAAAAAAGGUGUACAUAUCGCCCGUCGCCCUCGUCCAAAGAUGAGGUAAGUCGUAACACAGUUAAUGUACUGGAAAGUGUAUUAAGCGUACUAGUUCUAAGCUUCUAGUAUUUCACUUACACUGAAAAGAUGUAAUUUACUUUAUCUGAAAUCUCCUCAACAAAAUCUUUGCAGCUAUAUUUUUCUAAUCCAACACUUGAAAAACUGAAAAGGAUCGCUAAAACAAAACUUAAGUAAAUAUUUGUACCUUUUGUAUCAGGGAUUUUCAAACCUACAUGACUAUCUCAAUCUCCCGAAACAAGACGAGCUUCAUAAUUUUAAUAAAAGUUGUGGCAUAAACAUUAUAAAUUCCGUGAAGUUGAGAUAUUCUUCUCAAGUCUUCCUAUAUCUGGUUCUCUCCUUAAUUUCCUAAAAUUGUACAGGGAACAAGCUUUGUACACAAGUUUUAUCUCAAUCACUUCUCCCCAAUUUAGGUUUAACAGUAUCCUCAUUGUCCUCAAACACUAUUUUAGGUUCCUCCCAAACAAAAAUCAAGUGAACCUCCCUUCAACCUUACAAUGAAAAUAUUAGUAAAAUUUUCUAUUCUUCAUAUUUUCUAAACUCUUUUUCCUUCAUAUAACAACAUUGAAAUUAUGAACUAGGCCCUCAAUCAAUUGACUGUUUAUCAAAAACAUUGCUAAUAGAUUUUAAUUACUAGUAAUACCUGCUCAAUGAAAAUAAAUAGCCGCAAA
rnacentral:rRNA from 1 species